CAAAGUGUGAUCAUUAACUGUAAAACAUAGACUCAAACAUUGGGAGUGAUCCCUUAUCUUGAAAAUACAAGAUCGUUGUUGCCGCCAAGCAACUCUGCCUGGAAACAGGAAGUGCUGCGUGUUUGUUUUGUGCGACUUUAAUAUCUUCAUGCUAGCUUCAUGUACAGGUGUGUCGAGUACAGUGAAGCAUGAUGGGAGGAGAUGUGAGCAGAGAGAGCAAAAGUGAUGAAGACCAGGAAAGACGAGAUCUCCCCACACCUGACUUGUCUUCAUUGCAAGAGCCUGCAGGAGCGCUGCCCCAGUGCAUGCUGGGAGACAGAAAGGUGGAUGACAUGCGCUUCAUGGUCUCCUGUACUAAUUGGUACUGACUCACGUGGUGCAUUCAAGGACCAGCGUGUUGACCACACAGUCUGGAGAAGUACAAACAGUCAUGAUGGGUUUUGUCGUCUAAAAUGGCGUCUUGGUAGUGGCUUCCGGUGCGGACGGAGUUUGUCCAAGUGGUGUUGGGUACGCAUUUGGUUCUGCUGUGGAACUUUUAGAGGUCAUCUGAGGUCACCGUGGUUGUCACGUGAUGAUAAUGAUAUGGUGAAGUGUUAUUUAAUGAUCCAUGAAACGUGCUCCAAAGUUCAAUUUUAUUGCAAAGACAUUUUCAACAAAUAGAAAAGACAAGUGUGUUGCCGUGGUAACGAGAAAAAAAGAAAGCUUUGUGCUUGAAAGUCAAAAGUGAUGAAUAAACCCAAAUACAAAACUCUAUAUGCUCUGAUCCAUGUGAAAAAGCUUUUAUUUACACAAGAAGCCGACUGUUAAAGCUAUUUGUGAUAUGUUUUUACAAACCAACAAAGGCAACAAUGUGCUCGCUAAAGGGAGACGCAGAUGCCUCAAGCCACGCCCCCGGGACGCAGAUCCGCAUCUCCCUUUAAAGGCAACUCACUGUCCAUCAUAUCCACCAGAACCUCAGCACACACCCAUGCUGGGCAGGAUGUGUGUGUGAGAAUGAAUGUGGCGCGAUGGAAUGACGUGACGUGACAAGCCCCGCCCAACUGGCUGCCAAAAGAAACCCGCCUCUUUUGUCAACAUUUGCACAAACAAUUACUUGCGCACAAUCAUAAUUUCUAUGCCACGAUCCAUUUUACUGCUUAUUUACAAAACCCUUUUUCUUUCUAAAACCACGCAAAAGAAAAACGGCUAGCUCGUAACAUCGUGCUACGCUAGUGAUGUAAAUAUGUGCUAACAUGCGAACUAGCGAGCAGGUGAACGUGUCUGGUGAGGAAAAAAUUAAAUAAAUGAAAAUAAAAUCUGGUAAUGACUUGGUUCCGGCAACAUUCGCAGCUAAACUGUAGCCUGUCUUCAUCACGGAACGGCCAACGUUCCAUUUGUGGCUGUCAGCCAUCUUUGUUAGUAUUUAUGGCCUUUGUUGCCCCGAGUCACACCCACUCUUGCACGGCGUACUUGUAGUAGUGUGGCGGUAUAGCGGCCGGCUGCACGCUUUUGUUCUUAAACUGGAACACGGUGUAGACCAGGACCAGGACACACAGCGACAGCACGCAUGGGAUCACCACGGCGAUGGCGUUGACCGUGGCCGGGAUGUCGUUGAUGGCUACCAUGAUGUCCAAGUCAUCCAGGGGGCGCUGGCGGUCGCCACGGUUACUCUUCCCGCCUGGAUGCUCCACGUCGGACUGUUCGCAUCCCAUCCAGUCCUUCAAGAUGGAUUUUGGGUACCCGGGUUCCACUGACAACUUUUGGUUGUCAAACUUCCAGUAGUCCCGCCCCUUGUAGAAGUAGGUGUAGUCUGGGGGAGGGGCACACACACAUCACGUUUACCCGAUGACCCCAUGAGGUCGUGAGGUGUGUGCAUAUGUGUGUGUUUCCGACACUCACAUCCCUCCCUGCUGACGAAGGCUCCCUGAGGGGCGGGUGGCACGCCUUUCCACACACUGAUGGGUUUGGGGUAGCCUGGGUCGGCCGCCCCCCUCUCCUCGUUGUAGCGCCAGUACCGGUCCCCCUUGAACAAGUACGUCUUUCCCACCGGAUCCCAACGCAGCGCAGCAUCCACGCCACCUUGGGGGAGGCGCACGUUGAGCUGGGCCAGACUGCGGGGGAAGCCCGGCUCGGGCGUCACCUCCCGGAACAGCCAGUACUUGUCACCUAGGAGACAGUGAUGGCGUCAAAUUUCAAAGUAAAACAGGAAGUUGACGUUUGAAUCCUUCACCUUUGAAGAAGACAAAUUUGCCAUCAGCUCUCUCGUAGGCGGCGUCGAUGUGAGGUGGCAAACCCUUCCAAAAAUGAUCGAUCAGCAUCGGAUAACCUUCCAGAACCUUGUUGUUCCUCAAACGCCAGAACCAGCGAUCCUGAACACAACCAAGAUAUCCUGUCAGCGUCUACGUGCUGACCUUUGCCAGCGAAUGUUUGCACCUUCCGGGACUUUCUUUGUCCUAGAACAUUGUGAAACAUUGUAAAUAUCCUGACACACAGAACAUUCUAGACCAUUGUGAAUCCUACUGGACUUUAACACACUUUGGAGCAUUCUAGAACAUUAUGAAUGUUGUCCUAGAACAUUAUGGAACAUCAAACAUUACAAAACAUUCCAGUACAUUACAAAUUUCCCCACUGAGGGACGAAUAAAGGCAUAUCUUACAUUAUGAUUGUUAUCCUAGAACAUUUGAGUACUAUUGUAGAUCAUUAUAAAUGCUAUCCUAGAACAUUGAGGAGCAUUCUAGACAUUCUGAAUGUUAUCCUAGGACAGCCGAGAACAUUGUAACAUUCUAGAUGACUGAAUGUUAUCUGGGCAUUCUAGAACAUAAAACAUACGUAGACAGUUUACAACAGCAUGAAUGUUAUUGUAUGACAUUUUAGACCCAUUGUUUAACAUUCUGGAACCACGCAUUGCAUUCUAGAAAAUUAAAUGUUAUCUUAGACCAUUCUAGAGUGUGAAAUUUUCAUUGCUGAAAAUUCAAGAACACUGAAAGUU